CAGCAGCUACCAGGUGGGAUUCUGUCUCUCUCACCUAAGAAGCCGUUUUAUCUUAGCAGUAGCAAGCAGUCACUCUGUGUCAGCAGCCGCAGGCUCAGCAAGAUCGCCCUUCCAUUGCACCCCAACACCAGACAGAGCAGAAGGACAUUUGAGAUGGUCUCAGAAGGAAUUUUAAGAAGCAUUUUUGGAAGGCUCAUCUAAUGGCCUCUGUAUUGUAAUGGAGAUGGCAAUACCCCGGGAGAAGGAGAGUCCUUUGGUUUGUCAGCGUUAAUGAAGUGCACUCAGUACACAGUUUCAGUGAAGACAGAUACCAAUAAUAAGUUCCAUGUGCCUCAAGAAUUGCAAGUUUCUGGAUAAAGUCAGAAGCUGACGUACCAAAACGCUGCAAGUCCCAUCACACAGCUCCUCAACUUGAGAUUCCAGCCCAAUUUUGCAAACCCAAGAGGUCAGGAUAACUUUCAAUAAGGUUUGAACAACAAUCCUAAUUUUUAUAUUGGUCUGACCUAAACCCAACCUCCAAACCUGUGAACAUUUGUUCUCACUUAGACUGUCUGCUCUGUAGCACCACAGAAAGGCAUUGCUUUCUUUUAUUUUAUCUUGUGCACCAUUUGCAAAACGGACAGCUGAGUUCUGAUUCCAUACUCUCUGUUGCUGGUGACAAUGUA